GGCGCGGCCGACCGCAACCGCCUUGUAAGCGGUAGGUCGUCAGUUCGAUCCCGACAAUCGGCACCA
rnacentral:tRNA from 1 species